rnacentral:rRNA from 1 species
CCUACGGGUGGCAGCAGUGAGGAAUAUUGGUCAAUGGGCGGAAGCCUGAACCAGCCAAGUCGCGUGAGGGAAUAAGGCCCUACGGGUCGUAAACCUCUUUUGCCGGGGAGCAAGGGCCGGGACGAGUCCCGGUCCGGAGAGUACCCGGAGAAAAAGCAUCGGCUAACUCCGUGCCAGCAGCCGCGGUAAUACGGAGGAUGCGAGCGUUAUCCGGAUUUAUUGGGUUUAAAGGGUGCGUAGGCGGAAGGUUAAGUCAGCGGUAAAAUGUCGGUACUCAACACCGGCCUGCCGUUGAAACUGGUCUUCUUGAGUGAGCGAGAAGUAUGCGGAAUGCGUGGUGUAGCGGUGAAAUGCAUAGAUAUCACGCAGAACUCCGAUUGCGAAGGCAGCAUACCGGCGCUCAACUGACGCUGAGGCACGAAAGCGUGGGGAUCGAACAGGAUUAGAUACCCUAGUAGUC